rnacentral:rRNA from 1 species
CCUACGGGUGGCAGCAGUGGGGAAUAUUGGGCAAUGGGCGCAAGCCUGACCCAGCAACGCCGCGUGAAGGAAGAAGGCGUUCGGGGUGUAAACUUCUUUUGACAGGGAAGAGGAGAAGACGGGACCUGUCGAAUAAGCCACGGCUAACUACGUGCCAGCAGCCGCGGUAAUACGUAGGUGGCAAGCGGUGUCCGGAUUUACUGGGUGUAAAGGGCGGGUAGCCGGGUUGACAAGUCAGAUGUGAAAUCCUGCGGCUUAACCGCAGAACUGCAUUUGCAACUGUUGAUCUUGAGUACUGGAGAGGCAGCCGGACUUCCUCUUGUAGCGGUGACAUGCGUAGAUCUUCGGAG